CAAAAAAAUAAGAGAUACUGGUCUAAAAGCAUUCAUGUAAAACUAUACAUAUAUUCACAUAUACAAUCUUACAAAUGGAAGAUUAAAAACAUGUCAAUUUCCUUCUGGCAUUUAAAGUGACAGAACUUUCACUUUGGAACUGUGCCUCAAGCAAAAUGAAAAAGAAGUCAAUGGAUUCAAGCUCUUUAAAACUUUCACAAAAAAAGCAUGAUCACCUGAAAAGAUAAUACUGUGUUCCUUCCUUGAGAUUCUGCAGCAUUUCAAGAUUCCAAAAUUUAGGUGUUCUUCAAUCUGAAUGAUUCCUGGUGAAAACAUUUUAUUUUGUGGGGUUGUUGCUUAAAGUUAAUGUCUAAACUCUAAUAACAAACAUCAAGACCAUAACA